UACGUAGGGGGCAAGCGUUGUCCGGAUUUAUUGGGCGUAAAGAGCGUGUAGGCGGCUAGAUAGGUCCGUUGUGAAAACUCGAGGCUCAACCUCGAGACGUCGAUGGAAACCAUCUGGCUAGAGUCCGGAAGAGGAGAGUGGAAUUCCUGGUGUAGCGGUGAAAUGCGUAGAUAUCUGGAGGAAUACCGGUGGCGAAGGCGGCAUCCUGGACCGACAUUGACGCUGAGGAGCGAAAGCUAGGGGAGCAAACGGG
rnacentral:rRNA from 1 species